rnacentral:rRNA from 1 species
AUGCAGUACUGGUCCUUGGAAGGGAUCGAGGAAAUCCUCGGGAAGAAGGUGCGCGUCGACCGCCUCGACAGCAGGACGCAGGAGCGCGGACACACGAAGACUUUUGCCUGCUGGGUCUGGACGAACGACGUCGCCCACAUCCCCACCAAGCACACGCUCAGGGUCCUACCGCGCGGCACGGGACGCGUCGAGGAGAUGCAGGGCUACUCGCCGCCUGACCGGCGCGUUGCUCCACCACCGGGCACCACGGACUACACCAUGCUCAUCCACGUCGACAGGGUCGAAGACUGGACCCCCCCUCCAUCGCUGCGCUCUUCGCACUCUGCCCAAAGCGGGCUGCCGUCGUCCGACUCCGACACUGACGAUCGGCUCCGCUUUACCGUGAUCCCUGCCACCUGGACCAUGGAGGUCGAGGACGGGCAGAGGGGUGAUUGCCUCCAUCGCCUUGGGCGCGCCCAGGUGGCCGACCUGGGCUGCCGCGGCAUGCCACGCGAUGGACGCGACCACGACGACGCUGGCGGAGCUGGCGGUGCUGGUCGCAGAUCCUGGAAGGAUGCCCUACUACGUCGGGGACGCGCACCGACCCAGCCGGCGCCGGCGCCUGCCCCGCGUCAUCGCAGCCGCUCCCCCCCAGCCAGGCGCCACCAUGAUGUCUACUACACAACCUUCUUCUUGUAG